UACGUAGGGUGCGAGCGUUGUCCGGAAUUACUGGGCGUAAAGAGCUCGUAGGUGGUUUGUCGCGUUGUUCGUGAAAACUCACAGCUUAACUGUGGGCGUGCGGGCGAUACGGGCAGACUUGAGUACUGCAGGGGAGACUGGAAUUCCUGGUGUAGCGGUGGAAUGCGCAGAUAUCAGGAGGAACACCGGUGGCGAAGGCGGGUCUCUGGGCCGAUAUUGACGCUGAGGAGCGAAAGCGUGGGGAGCGAACAGG
rnacentral:rRNA from 1 species